CCUACGGGUGGCAGCAGUGGGGAAUAUUGCUCAAUGGGGGAAACCCUGAUGCAGCGACGCCGCGUGAGGGAUGAAGUUUUUCGGAUUGUAAACCCCUUUUUUUAGGGAAGAUAAUGACGGUAUCUAACGAAUAAGCACCGGCUAAAUCCGUGCCAGCAGCCGCGGUAAUACGGAGAGUGCAAGCGUUCCUCGGAAUCACUGGGCGUAAAGCGAGCGUAGGCGGGAUGGCAAGUCAGAUGUGAAAUCAUAUGGCUGAACCAGAGGACUGCAUUGGAAACUGUCAUGCUAGAGUAUCGGAGAGGCAGGUGGAAUGCUUGGUGUAGGGGUGAAAUCCGUAGAGAUUAAGAGGAAUACUCAUUGCGAAGGCGACCUGCUAGAACAUAACUGACGCUGAGGCGCGAAAGCGUGGGGAGCAAACAGGAUUAGAUACCCGAGUAGUC
rnacentral:rRNA from 1 species